UACCAAAGACUGUAUUUUCCAAUGUAGGAUCUUAAAGCUAAGCAGCAGACACCUAAAGAGAGGGUGCUGCCUUUGGUGCUUAAAAGCAGAUCUGGAUGCCUGAGGAAAUUGGCCCAAGUGCAAACAAGUGUGGAAAAUCGUUUAUUUCUUAGGAACGUGUUUGUCAUAUUUAAACUGAGCUCUAAUGUCGUGUUUCUUGGGGUCUGUUCUCACCAGCUGAAACAGAAGCAUCUAAAAAGCAUCCAGAGAAGUCUGUGGAUCCAAUGGAAAUGGGAUCUUCUGUGCAUUUCCUCAAUGCUCUGCCUAAAUCCUCUACUCUCCAGUGGUGAGGAGCCUCUUGGUUGGCCACAGCACCAUUCCAAGGAGGGAAGAAUAACCCUGCCCUUCUGCCAGCCUGCUCAGCUUUGGCUGCUGUGUUGGGAGUUUUGGUCAGUUCCAGGUUAUUCCUAGAGCAACCCUCAUUGCUUUGCUUUGUCUCACAGUGCCACGUGGCUGCAAUGUCACCAAUCUACGUGGUAUCCACUCCUGCAGGUAUGCACGUUUUCUGACAAAGUUCCCCUAGAAGCAGUUUUAUCUUCGGUUUUUUAAGAAAAAUCUUGCAUGGUGCAAACAUUGCAUCCAUAUUCUUAAUGGCUAUUUAGAAAGCAAAGUGUUUGGGUGUGCUUGAAAAUAGCCCUGGGCACCUAUUUGCCACGUGUAGCUGUAUGAAGAUCUGAGAAAAAUGACCAUCUGCUGUCUCCAGACUCAGAUCCCCAGAAAAUACACGGAAUACUGAAAUGAAGGGAAUUUAGGCAUUUCUUUUGAUGAUUUGUUCAACUCUUUGUGUCUCUCUCAGAAGUGUGCGGAGGAAGGAUACACAAAAGAAUGGGAAGGGCUGUGUGCUGCCUGCACGUGUUCUGCAGAUGAUGUUAGGGAAGGUCAGCAGGAAAAAGGAUAGCCUUUGAAAAAGUAUUCUGCCCUCCAAUUUUAAAAUACAUUUGAGCUCUUACUUUGUAAAAGAAGGAACUGAUGACGUGGUGGCUAAAGUAGUAUUGCCUAUUCAAAGGCAAUCGGUUCUUGGAAUAAUUUUGAGGCAUUUGGAGCCAUUUUCCAUAUUUUUCUUUCAUCUUUUUGUAGUAAAAUUUCAGAUUUGAUCUUUUAUUUCCCAUAUUGGCUACAAGAGAGAUUUGCUUUGCUGUGCCAGGGUACAAAUCAUUUUCGUGUUAGAAAACCGAAACCCAUUACCUGUGCUUUUACUUGGUGCAGAAGACAGAAGCUUUAGCACUGUAACACAGCAUGUUUUCUGCUCAGUGCAUGGUGUGAUGGCUGGAAAUCCUGAAAUUUGGAGCUAAAGAGCGCUUCAUCCCACAUCUCAGAGGGUAUUCUCACUGAGAUCUGAGCAACUCCCAGUGGGCAACUGCCAGCAUUUUGGCUUUUAUUUUGGUCACUGGAUUGAAUGGACCCUGAGAAAAACUGGGGGAAAAAAAACAAAAACAAAAAAAAAAAAACAGUCCUAAGCCUAGAAGAAGUUGCAGAUGUUUGAAGCUGGGAUGGGAAAUUAAUAGAAUUAUUAUUCAUUUCAAUGGUAGCUCUUAAAUAUGGGGCAACGCACUGAUUCUGUGCCUGCUCUGUGAUCAUUUUCCUUUUUGCUAGUGGUAUUUCCUGCCAAAAUUAGACACUCCUUGCUGCUGGGCCAAUUCCCUGAGUUACACAUAGUCAGUCAGGUGGCGAUCCAAAUGCUUGCCCACUUCUCCACUGUUUUCUUUCUCUCUGACUCCAUCAGAAGCACAAGACACAUCCAUGGAUUAUGGGAGAGAGAAGCAGGUUUGCUCUCCUUUAUCUCUCUGCUGGGGAAAGGAAAAAAAGCCACUCAACUGUAUAAUCAUCUUCCUAUAAAAUAAAUUACUUUAUCUGUCUUAAUACUGUCACUCUUCAGUCCUCCAGUGAUCUACUUCUUCCAUCUGUGUGCAUAACUGAAAUCUUCUCUCCACCUACUCUAUGUACUUCCAAGUGUCAAAAUCCAGCCUCAAUCAUUGCUGUCAUCAGUCUCUCAUUCCUGAUGGGAUAGCAGGUGAAACAUCACUGUUCCUCAGAUCUCUAUGGGUAAUUUCUGUGCUCGAUUUGCAGAGUGGAGGUAAACUAUCAGAAAUACGACCUAAAAGAGCAUUGGGUUUUUUUUUGUUUUGUUUUGUUUGUUUGUUUUUGUCAGCUGAAGUUUUCCACUUUCUGCUCCUGAAGCAUGUUGGUAUUUUUGUUUUUUUUUUUUCUGGGUCUUGUUUCCAUCAUGACUCUUGCUGCAUAAUUUCAAGAGAUAACCACAUUACCCAAAUCCUAUGAAAGUUGACUUACUGCUUCGUAUUGAGUAAUUCUGCAUGACUCACACUUUGUUCUCUGAUACAAUUUUUAUGCUUGUUUGCAGAAUGCUGUUGAGACAAUUGAGCUUACUUACCAAAAUCACCAUCUUUUGUAACGAGACAGUACAAUCACUUUCCUCUUUCACAAAGCCAUUCCAAGAACAAUGGGCCGACCCAUAAAUAACAACCGUUUGUUUUGCUUAGAAAAUGGAUUCUACUUUGCUAAAUGAAAUAACGGCAGGGAAAAGAAAGAAACCUUCUUAGAAGCUGUGCAUCUUCCCAGAUAAAUGUGGCAAAGCGCCUCUCCUGCUGAGCUGUGACCUACUUUGCUCACAAAAUGCUCUCGCUAUCUUCCCCCAAAUACAAGGCUGUCGAAGCCCCAGGAAUUCUUCACCUCGGGUGCGAAACCGUGAAGUGUCAGUCAGCACCGAAGGAUCCUCAAUGGUUUCCCUGUCUGGCAGCACAGCGCUGCUUAUCGCAUCCCCUGUGAGUGCCUCUCUUCUCAUCACGUUGCUGUUGGGAUCAGUUUUUAUCUCUGCUCCAGCGUACGCCCCGUGAGUUUGGAGCUGGGUAAAUUUUGCCAUCUUGUGAGAGGUUUUGGUACUUUUCUUUUUUUUUUGGAUUGGGUUUAUUUUUGGGUUAGCUCCAUUUAAAAUGUUUUGCUCUGCUGUAAUCUUUUUUAUGAUUCCUUCAUAUUUUUUUACGACUGAAAAGGAAUCCUUUUCCUCUAGCUAAUAUAUUAUGUGCAUCAGAACUUGGUAGUGUGCCUGUUCACGGAGAAACAGGAGUUGAGAUCGAGCAUCAGCAGCUGUGGGAAUGACCUACACCAUAUGGGACAUAUGACAAUUACCCAGUCUGUGUUACAUAAGGAAUAAAAUCAUGUUGCUUUGCUGAAGCAUGGAAGGAGAGAGAACUAGAAUGUGAUGACAAAUGGCUGCUCCCGAGGAUAAAGGUCCUUAGAUGUACAACCAUGGCUUUUUUUGGCUUUAUAACAAAUGUAUAUGAUCUACUUGUUAAAUUCAAGUUCGUUGCAUUGCAAAGGCAGCAUCUCUUGGCUUGGUACUUGUCUUAGUUAAGUAGCACAGCACUUAAAUAUAGAAGCUGGGUUUGUCCAUCAGGUUUUGCAUUUAUGACUCACAACCAAAGAUACUGAUCACAGCACAUAGAUGCUGUUGCCCAUUGGGCGAUGCUCAGGUUCGUUAUUUGGGCAGAUUAGUAGGUUCUAAUGCCACAAAGCAUCAUUACAGUCAAAAGGUAAAUAAAGCUUUUGUUAGAUAGAAAAAUUGAUCCUGAUUGUUUAGCAAAAAAAAAAAAAAGAAGUCUGGGAGAUGAUGGUAUACAAUAUAUGUAUGCCUUUAUGGGAGAUGUGCUGCACCCUGGAGGGCCACCUGCAAGAGCUGAUUGCCCCAACUGUUGCUAUUCCAAAGCAAACCUUUAAAUGCUGGGGAUUUAGCAACAAGCCAGAAGGAAUGUGGCUGAUUCCCUAGGUCUUGCUUUCUUUUAGCUACAACUGGCUACCUUUCAGGAUGACACACUUGCAUUAAACAACUCCUAAUAUCAUGCAAAAGGCUGGAUGUCACCACCUGUAACACUCAGGAAGUUGGAUCACAGCUCCUUCCCUCUGCCAGGGGAAGUCUUUGGACCAUCUCAUCUUAUGCCUGGCAUUUGCUGAUAUCGUGUAACAGGGUACGUACUCUAUCCACUCUACAUCUCUUAAUUCUUUAUCAGCACUGACUCUCUUACUCUCAGAGGAGAGCUGAGCAGAGCUGUGAGGAGCCCCUUUCCCUCUGCAUGGAGAUUUCCAGUGCCUGCCUUGGCACUGGGGGAAAUGCUAAUGGUGUCAAACCUAAUACGUUAACAAGCCAGCUUGCAUGCAUGGUGGUUGAAGGACCUCAGUGUAAUUAACAAGCUGCCUCUGGGAGCUGAUCCCAUUUCCUCCCUAAAUUUUGAACUUCAAGAUGUAUUGAAUGGCCUUAUUGCACUUUUUCUGCUUGAUGUUUGGAUACCAGUUUCAUAGAAUCAUCUUUACACAUGUAUGACUUUGUAAUGAGAGAAAGCAUAUACAGCAGUGGCAGAGUAAAGGUCAGGUUAUUUUUAGAUAUUUUAUAAACAAUAUAGCCCCCCAAAUAAGUCCAGAAGUAUCCUGUUACAAUAAGGUACAGUUUCCAUGCUUUAAACAAUCUGAAGCCCCCCUUUGUACUAAUUCUCAAGCUCUUUACCUAGCACUUAUGAUUUCAUUUUGCUUUAUGCUUUGUCUGCUUGUGAUAUCACUUUGCUUGCAUUUGCAGAACUCGUCCUUGCAUGGAGAAAGAAGCUGUCUGCACGCUAUCUUCUAGGAAUAAAAGCUCUAAUCUGCUGCACUGGGUUUAAUAAAUAUUUUAUCACUCAUUGUUUGGACUAUUCUCCCGGUGAACCUCAGCAGCUGCUCUUUGUGAAAAUAAUGCCUGGUUCAAGAGUAGGGGUUUGCUUCCACAUUCUGGGUAAGAACUGCAGCCCAGGUAACCCCAUACUGCUGCCUACUUCUUCCUAUUACCACACUUUGGUACUGUGAGAGCUUUGCAUUAAAGAAAGAAGAGGUACAUAACCUAGAAAUCCUCUCUGCACUUGCAGGAGCUUUACUGCCUUCCAUGGCAGCAGGGCCAGGAGGUGAUGCCCUGUGCUGCUCUGGGGCCCACAGGGCUCAGCAAGGAUUCUGGCACUGGGCUGCAGCCCUGACCCCAGAAGUGCCACUGGAGUUCCACUGUCACUGCUGAGUGCCAAUGGGGUCAUUGGUUCAUUGGUGUCACAGAGGCUGCUGUAAGUAUGGGGGAACAAAUGAAACCCUCAUUCCUAAACCUGUGUUUCAGACCUCCUUGUCUCUCCCCUAAAUUCUAAUGCCAUCCAGUCAGAGUGAAGUGAAUGGUGUCAUAAAGCUUGGGCUUAGCUGAAAGCUGGAAAUGAUGUGUGUGCCUGCGUGUGUCUGAAAUGCCUCUCAAAACACCACACAGCCACUUUUCUGAUGUGCAAUUUUCAUUUUAUUGAUACAUUUUUUUUUUCACAUACAGUUACGUAAUUGCAAACUGUACCCAUUUACACCUUCCAGAAGGCAGUAACUUCGGGAGUGAACGCGGGAUUAUUUUUAGUAUGUAUUCAAGUUUAUUCAUGCUGAAAGGUAGUAGUUAUCUUUUGUAAUUUUAGAGUAGCUCUUUGAAUAAAAACAUGAGUAUAGCUCCGUGUUAACUGCCAUGUGACACUUGGGAGCGGGCUAAAAUCUCUCCUAGGAUGACAAAAUCUCUGCUUUUUUGCUUUGCGACACCCCAGCGGUGCACACGAAGGCGGUGUGUGUGGUGGGACCUGUGUCUAUCAGUGCAUAAAACGUGAGCAGCUCGUGUGCACUGCGAUGGAAGUACCUCUAAGCCAGAAGGAAGUACAGCUUCCAGUGUUGGUUUUUGUGUCUGCAUGUAUGCGUAGGAAAAGCUUAUUGAAAUUCAGCUAUGCUUUCCAAGUUCAAAUUCCAUAUUCAGCCAUCACCAGAGGGGUUAUUAGAUAGAAAUCUGUGGGUCCUCAGCUGAGCGUUCCCCCCAGAGCUGAGUAAGUACCUCUGUGUGCCAAAUAGCGGAACCUUUUCUUCAGUUCACAGGCAACUGUGCAGAGGUUGCAAGUUUCUCACGUUUUGGGUCACUGUUCAGAUAAGUCUUAUGUUAUUGUUUCUGUUUUCUGGUGGAAUAAUUAAAAACGAGGAGCCUGCAGAAGGAAUGCGCAAUUUUGGGGGAAGGAGCUCAGUUGUUUGUCCAAGAAGGCACGCAGGGAUUUGGCUGGGAUAGACUAACACAGAGGCACCAGCAAAAGGUCACCAAGAAUGCAUUUUGCAAAAUUUCCUUUGUUCCAAGUUUGAUUUCCAAGAACUUGAAUAUCAGCCUCUUAUUUGGAGAUAACUGUGGGUCUGACACUAGAAGAAGCUAUGCUGUAAAAAUAAUAAGUGAGUCACGAUGAUAAUGAGGCUAUCAUUAUGCAAUAACAAGCUAUCCUCGUCUCCUUUGCAGGCAGUGCACAACUGUACAUUUUGAUAUCCCAGAUAACCCAGAUAAUCUGGGUUGCUGCUAUCUCAGGGCCUGAACUCAUAUCUCUGUGCAAUGCCAUCUUACAGAAGGAUUUUGCAGAAUAAUGACUCUCACUGUCUCAAACAAAUGUAUCAUAAAACAAUUUGUACUACCGAGUUCAACAUUGUUCAAGGAGGUAUUUUGUGACAUGUUUGUUCUCCUAACAAUUUCUAUUCAGGGCAUUUUGAAAGUGUUUUCCAGCCUAGGAGUCCUAAUGAACCAGCCCUGUGUCUGCUCGUGUUUCCUCAGUAAUAAACUCCUCUAACUCCCUAGAAAUGUUUGCCAGCUGGAAUUGCACAGCUGCUGUGGAGCAGCGUUAAGGCAGAGAUGGAGAAGUUCCUCGUGACAUGCCCAAGUCACAGGAACAGGGAAGUGACAUGCUUUGUAUUGUAUUCCCACUGCAGCAGCUGAGAGCUGCAGAAGGCCCGUUCCUGUGAGCACCUGCUGUUUUCUUUGGCUGACAGCUGUGCAGAGUGGCAGGGAGGACGCUGGACCCCAGCUGCAUCCAGCUGCAUCCCAAUGCUGCAUUCCUCCUGCCCAGCUCAAUGCUCGCGUUUCAGCCUCCGCUGUUCUGACUCCAUAAAGGUGAUGGGCUGAGCAGUUUCCUAAUGUGCAAAUGUCAGAACCUGUGAAGGGUUACACUUCUGUAGGCAUUUCUCUUGAGAACUCAGUAGAACUCAAUUCCUCUAUCUAUUUGCAUGGAGAUAAUCUGUUUUUUGUUUGUUUGAUUGAUUAUUAUUUUUUUUUUUUGAGCUUUGGCACUGGAGUAUGCAAAUACUCCUUGUUCUGUUUCAGCGGUUGUUGUGAAUAGAAGAGCUACAGAUCAACCUUCCUUACUAUCCUCAGCUCUUACACCCAGAAAUAUGUGAAGGUGGUUGCUGCCUCCAGGCCCACAGAACAUCCUCCAGGCUGUUAAAUCUCUAUCACUUUCCUUCCCCAUAAGCAAGAGAUCUGCAGUGGUGGCUGCCAGCAAUGUAGCCAGGAGGAAGAAAACUCACCGAGUGAUGCCUGAUCCAGCUACGAUCCUCACGGAGCUGAUAAUCCUAUCAGAAGCACAGCUUUCAGACUGAUGGUUGCCAGCUCCAAAAUGUCACCAGAGAUAGAAGUGCUGAAGAUCUGUAUGGAUGUCUCCCGAUAACAACAGGAACUCACAUUAACAACCACCCAGCUGCAGUCCUGAAAGCUAGAAGGACAUAAAGGUGCAGGAAAUCUGAGGCCCUGCCACGGACCGGCAGCAGGUGAAGGACUUCAAGCCACUCUAUGACUCCGUGCUGGUUCUGUGACUGCCAUGAGCACAGUGAUGUGCCUGCUCUUGGAACUGUGGGCCGAACUCCUGGCAUCACUCCACUUGUCUAACGGGUAAACUAACAUGAUAGGUGGGAAACUACCUUAAUUGCAAAGUCUUUUUGGCUUCAAAAUGCAUUCC